GGCAGCACGCGGCCCUGUGCGCCGCGCGGACGCCGGGUUCGGGCGGCUGGCGUGAUUUGUAGUGGCCCGGCUCUCGCGCUCGGGACAGCCAUGGAUUUUGAGAAUCUUUUCUCCAAACCCCCCAACCCAGCCCUUGGCAAAAGGCCGGCCACGGACUCUGACGAAAGAAACCAUGAUGAAGUAGAUGAUACAGAAGUUGAAGAAACACAAGAAGAGACAGUAAAAUGGGAUGUAAAACUGGAAUGUGAGAAAAUUCCAAAAAAACCUCGACGUUCCAGAAAUUCCACAGCACCACAAAAGAAUUCUCCCCGUCGAAAAUCAAGGAGUAAAGACUAUGAUCCAGAGAGUGACAAUGAAAUACUCAAUCAAGACUCAGAAGAUCAUUUUGCUAAAGCACUUCAGCAGUAUAUCCAAGCUAAAGAAAUGGCCAGUGCUGCUCAGGCAUCACUCGCUCCUGAAGACUCCAUGAAAAAAGACGAAGGGAAGGAACCCCGGAAUGCAGUACAACAAAAGAAUCAAAACCACCUUAAAGCUGUUCAAAAGAACGGGAAGCAGAAGAAAGUGAAGCGGAAACGGCGUAGUGCAGGGGACAAAGGAUCUAAUGCUUUACCAAGGAAGCAAGGCUCUCAGGACCAGGAUGGCAAACCUAAGGAGAAUCCGCAGCGAGUGAGAAUGAGCCAGGGAUUUAUCAACCAACAUACAGUGGAACGUGACGGAAAACAAAUUUGUAAAUAUUUCCUUGAAAGAAAAUGUAUUAAGGGAGACCAGUGUAAAUUUGAUCAUGAUGCAGAGAUAGAGAAGAAAAAGGAAAUGUGUAAAUUUUAUGUACAAGGAUAUUGUACCAGAGGUGAAAACUGUCUAUUUUUGCAUAAUGAAUAUCCUUGCAAGUUUUACCAUACAGGAGCAAAAUGUUACCAGGGAGAGUAUUGCAAGUUUUCUCAUGCUCCACUGACUGCUGAAACACAAGAACUGUUGGCUAAAGUUUUAGAUUCGGAUAAGAAGUCAUCAUGAAAAUAAAAUAAGAUGAGUGUUUCUGCGUAUUCAGGAGGCUGGUGUUGGAGUGGCUCACAGAAUUCCUUAUUCUAACACGCCCCCUUGUGUCACUGUGAUGAUGUGUCGAGAGUCGCCUGGAUAAGAGUAAAGGGAAUUUCUCCCUCCAGGUGCUGCCACCUUUGGAACAAGAGCUGCUGGCUGCUGACUUCAGCUUGUGGUGGUAAUUGCGGACAGCUCUGCUGACUGAGUUUGCCCAGUGAGAUCGGAGCUCUGGCCCGACUGACAUUUUGUGGCUGUGCCGAAGGUUUUAUUGGAAAUCUUCCUGCAAGAAUAGGACUUGCAUACUUCACCAGAGUUUCCCGCUUAGGAACCAUUUUGAGUCACUUUCUCCUGAUGCUCCCCCUUCUGAUAAGUCCCGUUGUCGGGUUGGGAAGAGAGCUAAAGUGGUAUUGCACGUGCCUAGCUAGCAUGUGCGAGUCGUGAAUUUGAUCCCCGGCACUGUGCACCCUCCCCCAGCACUGCUGAGUGUAACUUGGGCAGCCCCCGGUUAUUUCUGAGGGCCCAGUUCUGGAUAUCAGACCUCUGCUGCUCAGCAGAGCAUGAAAAAAAAAAAAGUGCCGCCAUGUGAUGUAUGUGGAGAUCUUAUCUCCUACCUUGUCAAAGCAGGAACCAAUUGUUUGAAAAGAACAUCCCCACAAGAAUGUGAACAAUGGAGAACCGAAAGGGCACAGGUUAUCUAAUAAAACCCACAAACCGGAAGCAAGAUUUCACGAGAGCCCGGAAACCAGGAAUAGCCAAUUUUUACACAUGGCUCCAUCUACUCAACUGUACAACUUCACUCCCUGAGGACUCGCUGGUCCAUGUCCCUCCAAGUCUGAAGUCCUCUCUUCUUUCCUGCUUUUCUGGAAAAGUUCUUUUUGUUUGUUUGUUUGGCAGCCUCACCAGGUAAUGCUCAGAGUUCACUCCUGGCUCUGUGCUCAGGGAUCAUCCUGGCAGUGCUCGGGUGUAUAAUGGAUGCUGGAGAUCAAACCUGUGUUGGGUGCAUGCUUGCUGUGCUCUCUCCAACCCCAAUACCUUUCUCCUUUUUAUAGAGGCCACAGUCUUUUGUGCUUGGUGGAGCUGGAAGUUUUCCUCCCAGAGACAAUUGGCCUGGAGACAGCACCUGAUGGUCCAUUGCUCAGGUCCAGUUUGUGGUGUUUGGGAGCCACCAUAGCCACCUGGGGAAUGUCCUUCACCGCUUGAGCUAUCUUCCUGGCCCCAUGCUUUUUUUGUGUUAAAUGCAAGCUUCAUGGACUCAGAUCUGUCAGCCUGGCCAUCCACCGUACCCUCAGUAACUAGAACAGUGCCAGGUGGGCAAUCAGGAAGAUCCAUGCCGCUUAUAAACAUAUCGUUCUACCUAUGUCCAAAGUGACAGUCAAGAACUGUCACUCUCCAUCUCUUGAGUGUGAGCUUGGUGAAAGUGAAGGCAGUGGUCAGUGGAAAGUGACCCAGGCAAGUCUGACUUCAUGGCAUUGGGAACAUGCUCACCUUUUCCGUACGCCAAGUUGACUGUAACCAUGCAGUGAUACAUUUUUAUUUUAUUUUCCUUUUUCUUUGUUAAUGUUGGAAGUGUUGUAUUUUAAAUGUAAGGUGAUUUCAGAGUGAUUCAACAUCCAUGUUAACUGUCCUUUUCUCAGCAGCCAAAGAUUGAACCGGCUAGCCUCUCACCUUGGCCUGCUGGUUGUCGAUGGCUGCUCAGAAGUCCAGAUGGGCUGUGGGCUUGCUGGGCGACAGCCCUCCAUUCUGGACUCUGCCCACCCAGAGGGCAUUGGGUGGUUGCACAGGUGUGAGGACCAUGGAGUUUUGGGGGUCUUCUUCAAUAGCAGGAGCUCUCUUACGCUCAUGUGGCUGGUGAAGUGGCAUAACCCUUAUAAAAGAAAAACUGACCCCAGAGAUACAGAGGCAGGAAGCUGUGUGAUAUAACUGCUGUAAUAUUUUUGAUAGCAAGGGACUGGAAAGGAACACAAAUGUCAACCAAGAGUGACUGGUUGACUAAACAAUGGUAUAUGUUCAGAAUGGGCUGGAGCGAUAGCACAGCGGGUAGGGCGUUUGCCUUGCACGCGGCCAACCCAGGUUUGAUUCCUCCGUCUCUCUCAGAGAGCCGGGCAAGCUACCGAGAGUAUCCCGCCCACAUGGCAGAGCAUGGCAAGUCCCGUGGUGUAUUCAAUAUGCCAGAACAGUAACACGUCUCACAGUGUAAAUGUUACUGGUGCCUGCUUGGGCAAAUCGAUGAGCAAUGGGAUGACAGUGAUAUGUUCAGAAUGGAGACUGAGAAUAUAUACCUUUGACUAGCCCGUAUGGUUCUAUGGCUGAUUCCUCGCAUCCAAGCAGUAUUAUGUUGAGGAAGAGGAAACAAAGCAAAAUCAGACAAGGAUGAAAUAGUAUUUACAUUUCAUUUCUCAUAAACGAAAUGGUCAUUUGUCUUUCUUUUGUUUUUUAAUGGAAAAGUAAAAUAGAAAAAAAUAUCUGCAGCCAAAGGAGAAAAUGGGUGAAGAGAAAUGGAUUAUAGCAGUUCUCUGGAUACAGCUUAUUUUGUGCACUUGACUUUGGAAUAAUGUAAAUAAUUUAUAUAAUUAUAACACAAAAUUCAAAUUUAAAAACUGCUAGAAUUUACAAGCAAUUUAAAAUGAAUAAUCAGAACCCUGAUUUAAGUUUGGGGCACAAUCACAGAGAUAAGAAUUAGUUCAAGUUAUUUUAAAAUAGUCAUUUGAGGACUGGGGACAUAGCUCAGUGGUAGAAUACUUACAUUGCAUUUUGAGGCUCUGGGCUCAGUCCCUGACAAACCAGAACAAACAAGCACACACACACAAUUAAUGUGAUUAUACAGCCAUACAGCUGGGACCCUUAGGACAAAAGGGAUUGCAAAAGAGAAAAUUUCAUUAUUUUCAGUAAUCACUUUUUAUGAUAAAUUUGACCUCGUUCUUCUGAGGAAAAGAAUAAAAAUAAUGUAUAGAUGUUAUUUAAAAAUAUCAGACAACUAUCUUGGUGACUUUGAAAGGGAGGUUCUCAGAAUGAAAGAUCAGAUGUGUGAUCACAGGAAUUAUGUAAACCCCUCUGGUUUUGAGUUGAAUGGGAAAUGUUCAUAUAAAUUCAUAUAGUGUUAUUUUUCUGGUUAAAAAACCACCAUUUUUUAAAGUACGUAGUUCUUACAUCUAUUCACUGAAACAAAGAAACUGAUGACCAAACCAUUGCCAGUGAGCAUUCUAGCCCCCAGAGCUCUGUCUUGCAUUCUCAUUCCCUACUCACAGGAACCAGGGUCUCUGAGGGAAAAGCUUUAGGGACUAAGACAUUAAAAAAAAAAAAAAAGGAUGGUGAUGAAAUAUCAUGCCAUUCAAGGUACUACAAAAGCUAUCAGAGACCACUAAUGUCAUGUCAAAGGGAAAUUGG